UUUGAAGCGGGAAAAGCUCAAAUUUAAAAUCUGGCGGUUUUGUCGCCCGAGUUGUAAUCUGGAGAAGCGUUUUCCGUGCCGGACCGUGUACAAGUCUCUUGGAACAGAGCGUCAUAGAGGGUGAGAAUCCCGUCCAUGACACGGACUCCCGGUGCUUUGUGAUACGCUCUCGAAGAGUCGAGUUGUUUGGGAAUGCAGCUCAAAAUGGGUGGUAAGCUCCAUCUAAAGCUAAAUAUUGGCGAGAGACCGAUAGCGAACAAGUACCGUGAGGGAAAGAUGAAAAGCACUUUGGAAAGAGAGUUAAACAGUACGUGAAAUUGUUGAAAGGGAAACGCUUGAAGUCAGUCGCGUCUUACUUGACUCAGCCUUGCUUCGGCUUGGUGUAUUUCAAGUAGGAUGGGUCAACAUCGAUUUUGACCGGUGGACAAGGGGUGAAGGAAUGUGGCACUCUUCGGAGUGUGUUAUAGCCUUUUCUCAUAUACAUCGGUUGGGAUUGAGGCCCGCAGCGCGCCCUUGUGGCCGGAGGUUCGCCUCACGUAACGCGCUUAGGAUGUUGGCAUAAUGGCUUUAAGCGACCCGUCUUGAAACACGGACCAAGGAGUCUAACAUGCUCGCGAGUGUUAGGGUGGAAAACCCUUGCGCGUAAUGAAAGUGAAAGUUGAGACCCUCCGCAAGGGGGUGCAUCGACGCCCGGCCCUGAAGUUUACUGACGGUGCUGCGGUAGAGCGCGUAUGUUGGGACCCGAAAGAUGGUGAACUAUGCCUGAAUAGGGCGAAGCCAGAGGAAACUCUGGUGGAGGCUCGUAGCGAUUCUGACGUGCAAAUCAUCGGG
rnacentral:rRNA from 1 species